GGAAUAUUGGGCAAUGGGCGCAAGCCUGACCCAGCAACGCCGCGUAAAGGAAGAAGGCCCUCGGGUUGUAAACUUCUUUUAACAGGGACGAAGAAAGUGACGGUACCUGUUGAAUAAUCCACGGCUAACUACGUGCCGGCAGCCGCGGUAAUACGUCGGUGGCAAGCGUUAUCCGGAUUUACUGGGUGUAAAGGGCGCGUAGGCGGGAGAGCAAGUCAGACGUGAAAUUCCAGGGCUCAACCCUGGAACUGCGUUUGAAACUGUGCUUCUUGAGUGAUGGAGAGGCAGGCGGAAUUCCGUGUGUAGCGGUGAAAUGCGUAGAUAUACGGAGGAACACCAGUGGCGAAGGCGGCCUGCUGGACAUUAACUGACGCUGAGGCGCGAAAGCGUGGGGAGCAAAC
rnacentral:rRNA from 1 species